UCUUCUUAGUAGCUUAAGAAAAUUCUUUUUUUUCUUUUCUUUUUUUUUUUUUUUUUUUGAGACAGGGUCUCACUCUGUUGCCCAGGCUGGACCUGCUUAUGGUGGACUCUACUGGACCUAUGCCUUCUCCCGGAGCUGAUGAGCUCACCUUAGUUCUUAGAGCUUCAAUUCUUGAAUGCUGCAAGCCUGCCUGAGGUUGGCUUCCUUUUAUCCUGUGGAUAAACUGUAGGAUUCUAACGUCCUUUU
rnacentral:lncRNA from 1 species